GGUCAACUGGCUUGAAUUCUUCUUCUUGUAAUAAUUCCUUAGGAGUUUCUUACACAUUUGAAAACACUUCAUUUGUUGCCAACUGGACUUCACCAUCUAAUCUAAGUGCAAGCUCUAUUAUCAUUAGUGCUUUUGUAAAUGGAUCUUCUUCCGUGUACAAGUUGAGCAAUACCUUGAGUGUUCCUACAGUUUCUACUACAACUACUAAAACAGCUACAACAGCUAGUGGAAGCCAUGCUAACAACCCAACUGCCUUGGUUUGGGCUUCCUGCCUCCUUGUGAUCGCCAGAAAGUUAUUGUCAUAAAAGUUAACAGAAUCAAGG